AGUGCCCUGGAGGCAUUGCUGGUGUGGCUGCUAUGUCAGGUGCGAAUCUGGAGGUGGCAGAGAGGAGAAGCUAUGUUUAUGCUCAGUGUUCCAACCUCUGGACGUUUGAAGGAUUACUAGCUCAACAUU
ensembl:snoRNA